AUACCAUCAACCUUAAUGAACCCCUAAUUUAUAAUGAAUGACUCCAUAUAAAUAUGGAAGACACCAUGCUGGGAUAAGUAACAAGAAUUAAUAAUUCUCCAAAAUGCAAACAUACACCAACAUGGAUAAACCAUUGGUAAUUACCGAAUCUGAACUUACUGCAACAACACUCACAAGAAAACCAUGCAGUAUUUGCUCGUUAACCUAACACUAGUGCAUUUCAGGAAAGAUUUAAAAAAAGAGAAGGAAUUCGGCAAAUGAAAGCCCCGCCUGUUUACCAAAAACAUCGCCUCUUGAUUUAUGAUAAGAGGUCCAGCCUGCCCAGUGAAUUUUUAACGGCCGCGGUAUCCUAACCGCGCGAAGGUAGCAUAAUCACUUGUUCUUUAAAUGGGGACUCGUAUCAACGGCAUCACGAGGGUUUUACUGUCUCCUCUUUUUGAUCAGUGAAAUUGAUCUUCCCGUGAAGAAGCGGGAAUACUUAUAUAAGACGAGAAGACCCCAUGGAGCUUAAAACCAAAUAGUAACUUAACCACAUAUCUCCUUAUAACUUUAAGCCUGUACUAUGAGGUUUUUGGUUGGGGUGACCGCGGAGUAAAACAUAUCCUCCACGACGGAAAGACUACAAUCUUUAUUUAAGAACCACAAUUCUAAAAAUUAGUAUACUAACGUUUACUGACCCGAUAAUCGAUCAACGGAACAAGUUACCCUGGGGAUAACAGCGCAAUCUACUUCAAGAGCCCAUAUCGACAAGUAGGCUUACGACCUCGAUGUUGGAUCAGGGUAUCCCAGUGGUGCAGCCAUUACUGAAGGUUCGUUUGUUCAACGAUUAAAACCCUACGUGAUCUGAU
rnacentral:rRNA from 1 species